rnacentral:tRNA from 3 species
GAUUAGCUCAGUCGGUAGAGCACUCGGCUGUUAACCGAUAGGUCGUAGGUUCGAGUCCUACAUC